rnacentral:rRNA from 1 species
UGCGGAUCCGCGGCCGCAGAGUUUGAUCAUGGCUCAGAUUGAACGCUGGCGGCAUGCCUAACACAUGCAAGUCGAACGAGGUUGGCUUCGGCCAACCUAGUGGCGGACGGGUGAGUAAUACGUGGGAAUCCGCCUCGUAGUGGGGGAUAACGUAGGGAAACUUACGCUAAUACCGCAUACGCUCUACGGAGGAAAGGGGGGGAUCUUCGGACCUCUCGCUAUGAGAUGAGCCCACGUCUGAUUAGCUAGUUGGUGGGGUAAAGGCCUACCAAGGCGACGAUCAGUAGCCGGCCUGAGAGGGUGGACGGCUACACUGGGACUGAGACACGGCCCAGACUCCUACGGGAGGCAGCAGUGAGGAAUAUUGGACAAUGGGCGAAAGCCUGAUCCAGCAAUGCCGCGUGUGUGAAGAAGGCCUGCGGGUUGUAAAGCACUUUAAGUGGGGAAGAACGGGAUUGCGCUAAUACCGCGAUCCUUUGACGUUACCCACAGAAUAAGCACCGGCUAACUCCGUGCCAGCAGCCGCGGUAAUACGGAGGGUGCGAGCGUUAAUCGGAAUUACUGGGCGUAAAGCGCGUGUAGGCGGUUUGAUAAGUCGGAUGUGAAAUCCCUGGGCUUAACCUGGGAAUGGCAUUCGAUACUGUCAGGCUAGAGUAGGAUAGAGGAGAGGGGAAUUCCGCGUGUAGCAGUGAAAUGCGUAGAUAUGCGGAGGAACACCAAUGGCGAAGCACCUCUCUGGGUCCAUACUGACGCUGAGAUGCGAAAGCGUGGGGAGCAAA